GAUUGAGAGAAGCGAUAUUAACCCGUGGGGCUCAUAACCCCAGGGUCGGUGGUUCAAAUCUACUCCAGUUUCCA
rnacentral:tRNA from 1 species